rnacentral:rRNA from 1 species
UACAGAGGGUGCGAGCGUUGUCCGGAAUCACUGGGCGUAAAGGGCGCGUAGGCGGCCUGAUAAGUAGGGGGUGAAAUCCUGUGGCUCAACUGCAGGGCUGCCUCCUAGACUGUCGGGCUUGAGCACGGUAGAGGCAGAUGGAAUUCCCGGUGUAGCGGUGGAAUGCGUAGAUAUCUGGAGGAACACCGGUGGCGAAGGCGACAUCCUGGACCGGUAUUGACGCUGAGGCGCGAAAGCCAGGGGAGCAAACGGG